UACGUAGGGGGCAAGCGUUGUCCGGAAUUAUUGGGCGUAAAGAGCGUGUAGGCGGUUCGAUAAGUUUGCUGUAAAAGUCGGGGGCUCAACCCCCGAAAGCCGGUGAAUACUGUCGGACUAGAGUACGGAAGAGGCGAGUGGAAUUCCUGGUGUAGCGGUGAAAUGCGCAGAUAUCAGGAGGAACACCAAUUGCGAAGGCAGCUCGCUGGGACGUGACUGACGCUGAGACGCGAAAGCGUGGGGAGCAAACAGG
rnacentral:rRNA from 1 species